CGUUAAAAAAAUAAAACGAUAUCUAAACGAGAAGCUGAGCGGGGUAUUAUCCUCGUUCUGCCCCCGCCGCCCAGCGCGGAGGCUGCGAUGCCGGGCGAGCCGGGCUCCCCUCCCCCCGUGGGCCGGGGCCCACCCGCCCCCGCGUCGUCAGUCACACCCGCUCCCGUGCAUCCGCCGGGGCAGUCCGCGGCCCUCCUCGCCGUCAGCGCGGCCUCCGCCGCCUCCGCCUCCUCCGCCUCCUCGCACAGGCUUAUCACCCUCUCUUCCGCCGUGGCGCCGCACUGCGGGCGGGGUCCCGGGCGCGGGCCUCCGAGACCCCCACCUCCCUCUCCUGCAGCCGGCGCGCCUUCAGAUGCGCGCGCACGUGCUCGCGCUCGCGGACGGCGAGCCCCGGCGGGCGGGCGGGAGGCGUGGAGCGCGGGGCCUGGGAACUUCUCCCAGGCGUCGUCGGGCGCACGUUCCAGCUUCGCGUCUACGGGCCACCUCGCGCCGCCACCGCCCCGUGACCUCGAGGCCUGCUCACCGCCCCCGGGAAGGCGGCCGGCCGACAGCUAGCUCUGGGCGCGGGGUUGAGCUCCGCGAAGCGCCGCUGUAGCGGGCAACAGGAACUUUUUUGUCGUUGUUGUUUUUUAACCAGCACCACACCAUGCUUCAGAAAGCCAUGUUUCAUCUAUCCUGGAUCGCUACAGUGAAGUAUUACAGUUGUACAGUUCCCAGUCUGGCCUUGGCUUGCUCGGAUAAAACUUUGUAUGUAUUUUGUAAGGCAUAGAUUCUAAAUUGUAAUGAUGUCCUGUGCAAAAA